UACGGGGGGGGCAAGCGUUUUUCGGAAUUACUGGGCGUAAAGGGCUCGUAGGUGGCCAACUAAGUCAGACGUGAAAUCCCUCGGCUUAACCGGGGAACUGCGUCUGAUACUGGAUGGCUUGAGUUCGGGAGAGGGAUGCGGAAUUCCAGGUGUAGCGGUGAAAUGUGUAGAGAUCGGGAGGAACACCGGUGGCGAAGGCGGGUCUCUGGGCAAUUCCUGACGCUGAGGCGCGAAAGCGUGGGGAGCAAACGGG
rnacentral:rRNA from 1 species